GGCGCCAUCUUCUAAUGGUUAGGAAGCCGGUUUUUCACACCGGAGAUACGGGUUCAAUUCCCGUUGGCGCUA
rnacentral:tRNA from 1 species